CGCAUCUAUACUUAUUACUCUAACUCAUGUAAGUAACGUUAAAAAGUGAACAUUAUAUAGCUGUUAAAAUUGCUAUGUUUUUAAUUCCUCCUUGCCUGCAUCUACUAUUCUAUUUUUUCCCCUCUAAAUCUGCAAGCUAAAUCUGGUAAAGUCACAAGAUUUAAUAUGUCACCAGUCGCAGUUACUACGAUGUGGAAAUGAACUUUUGAAGCCGGUUAAUUCCCUCCUGCAAUGAUAAUUAGGUUUAAGUCAGAGUUAAGAGUUUUGGAAGAGGGUUGCAUUUACAAACCUUGAAGAAAAAGUAUAUAAGUAAUUAAGAAUGAGUUAAUGGAACCCAGAUGCAGAACGUGUGUCCGGAAUGCUGAGUGGAGGAUAGAUGUUUGACGAAUCUCCCUGGCCUGCCUCCUGAACGCUGAAACCAUGAGAACAUGAAACGGCUGCCGGUCGAUGUAUCUGGAGGGUCUAUGCGGACUAAAUAAAUCUCUGUCGGCCGAUGCAUCUAGUGGGUAUAGGCGGACUACAUAAAUCUCUGUCGGCCGAUGCAUCCAGUGGGUAUAGGCGGACUACAUAAAUGUCUGUCGGCCGAUUGAUUUAUAGGGUCAAUGUGGACUACUUAAACGUCUGUUGGUGGGCCUAUUGUCUUUGCAGACUACAAAUUAAAUAGGUUGCCGAUUGAGCAUGCACGAGAUAAGGCAACAAGGCCAUUUUGAAAGUAUAAAAGGUUUGAACGAGCGUGACAGGACUCGAACCUGCAAUCCCCAGAUCCGAAGUCUGGUGCCUUAUCCAUUAGGCCACACACCCUACAUGUUAAGUGUAAGAAGUUUCUUUUUAACAAAUAUGUUUUUUAUAAUUGCAAACGUGGUCGCAACAUUAUCUGUUCAUUCCUAACAUCCAGGAAAAAUAUAUUUAAGGGAAGAGAUUAUUUUCUAGAGAAUAUAAACCCCUUCUCUUAUCUUUAAAUCCGCCCAGUUUUAAUUAUAUAUGUUGCACACAAGAUAUUGCAAACUUGGUCGCAACUUCUUGGUUCUCAUCUCAACAACUUAACAUACACAACAAAAAUAUUACAAUAAAAUCAAUCUUGACUAAAAUGCUAGUUCAAACCCCAGUAGAAACUUUAACUCAAAUAAAAAAAUUAAAAUGCACACAGGCGCG